AGCGGCGGACGGGUGAGUAACGCGUGGGAACGUGCCUUUUAGUUCAGGAUAGCCACUGGAAACGGUGAGUAAUACUGGAUACGCCCUAAGGGGGAAAGAUUUAUCGCUAAAAGAUCGGCCCGCGUUGGAUUAGCUAGUUGGUGGGGUAAUGGCCUACCAAGGCGACGAUCUAUAGCUGGUCUGAGAGGAUGAUCAGCCACACUGGGACUGAGACACGGCCCAGACUCCUACGGGAGGCAGCAGUGGGGAAUAUUGGACAAUGGGGGCAACCCUGAUCCAGCCAUGCCGCGUGAGUGAAGAAGGCCCUAGGGUUGUAAAGCUCUUUCAGGUGUGAGGAUGAUGACAGUAGCACCAGAAGAAGCCCCGGCUAACUUCGUGCCAGCAGCCGCGGUAAUACGAAGGGGGCUAGCGU
rnacentral:rRNA from 1 species